rnacentral:rRNA from 1 species
CCUACGGGCGGCAGCAGUGGGGAAUAUUGCACAAUGGGGGAAACCCUGAUGCAGCGACGCCGCGUGAGUGAAGAAGUAUUUCGGUACGUAAAGCUCUAUCAGCAGGGAAGAAAAUGACGGUACCUGACUAAGAAGCCCCGGCUAACUACGUGCCAGCAGCCGCGGUAAUACGUAGGGGGCAAGCGUUAUCCGGAUUUACUGGGUGUAAAGGGAGCGUAGACGGCAGCGCAAGUCUGGAGUGAAAUCCCAUGGCUUAACCAUGGAACUGCUUGUGAAACUGUGGGGCUAGAGUGCAGGAGAGGUAAGCGGAAUGCCUGGUGUAGCGGUGAAAUGCGUAGAUAUUAGGAGGAACACCAGUGGCGAAGGCGGCUUACUGGACUGUAACUGACGUUGAGGCUCGAAAGCGUGGGGAGCAAACAGGAUUAGAUACCCGGGUAGUC